UACGUAGGGGGCAAGCGUUGUCCGGAAUCAUUGGGCGUAAAGAGCGCGUAGGCGGUCCGGUAAGUCCGCUCUGAAAGUCCGGGGCUCAACCCCGGGAGGCGGGCGGAUGCUGCCGGGCUAGAGUCCGGAAGAGGCGAGUGGAAUUCCUGGUGUAGCGGUGAAAUGCGCAGAUAUCAGGAGGAACACCGAUGGCGAAGGCAGCUCGCUGGGACGGUACUGACGCUGAGGCGCGAAAGCGUGGGGAGCAAACAGG
rnacentral:rRNA from 1 species